CCUACGGGAGGCAGCAGUGAGGAAUAUUGGUCAAUGGGCGGGAGCCUGAACCAGCCAAGUCGCGUGAGGGAAGACGGUCCUAUGGAUUGUAAACCUCUUUAGGCGGGGAGCAAUGCCGGGCACGCGUGCCCGGAGGGAGAGUACCCGCAGAAUAAGCAUCGGCUAACUCCGUGCCAGCAGCCGCGGUAAUACGGAGGAUGCGAUCGUUAUCCGGAUUUAGUGGGUUUAAAGGGUGCGUAGGCGGAUUUUUAAGUCAGCGGUAAAAUGUCCGGGCUCAACACGGGCCGGCCGUUGAAACUGGGGAUCUUGCGUUGGCGAGAAGUAUGCGGAAUGCGUGGGGUAGCGGUGAAAUGCAUAGAUAUCACGCAGAACUCCGAUUGCGAAGGCAGCAUACCGGCGCCCGACUGACGCUGAGGCACGAAAGCGUGGGGAUCGAACAGGAUUAGAUACCCCAGUAGUC
rnacentral:rRNA from 1 species